rnacentral:rRNA from 1 species
AGAGUUUGAUCCUGGCUCAGGACGAACGCUGGCGGCGUGCUUAACACAUGCAAGUCGAACGAUGAAGCCAGCUUGCUGGUGGAUUAGUGGCGAACGGGUGAGUAACACGUGAGUAACCUGCCCUUGACUCUGGGAUAAGCCUGGGAAACCGGGUCUAAUACUGGAUACGACCUUCCCACGCAUGUGGUGUUGGUGGAAAGCUUUUGUGGUUUUGGAUGGACUCGCGGCCUAUCAGCUUGUUGGUGGGGUAAUGGCCUACCAAGGCGACGACGGGUAGCCGGCCUGAGAGGGUGACCGGCCACACUGGGACUGAGACACGGCCCAGACUCCUACGGGAGGCAGCAGUGGGGAAUAUUGCACAAUGGGCGCAAGCCUGAUGCAGCGACGCCGCGUGAGGGAUGAAGGCCUUCGGGUUGUAAACCUCUUUCAGUAGGGAAGAAGCCGGCCUUUGGGUUGGUGACGGUACCUGCAGAAGAAGCGCCGGCUAACUACGUGCCAGCAGCCGCGGUAAUACGUAGGGCGCAAGCGUUAUCCGGAAUUAUUGGGCGUAAAGAGCUCGUAGGCGGUUUGUCGCGUCUGCCGUGAAAGUCCGGGGCUUAACCCCGGAUCUGCGGUGGGUACGGGCAGACUAGAGUGCAGUAGGGGAGACUGGAAUUCCUGGUGUAGCGGAAAUGCGCAGAUAUCAGGAGGAACACCGAUGGCGAAGGCAGGUCUCUGGGCUGUAACUGACGCUGAGGAGCGAAAGCAUGGGGAGCGAACAGGAUUAGAUACCCUAGUAGUCC